rnacentral:misc_RNA from 1 species
GAUGAAGAACGCAGCGAAAUGCGAUAAGUAGUGUGAAUUGCAGAAUUCAGUGAAUCAUCGAAUCUUUGAACGCACAUUGCGCCCCUUGGUAUUCCAUGGGGCAUGCCUGUUCGAGCGUCAUUUGUACCUUCAAGCUCUGCUUGGUGUUGGGUGUUUGUCUCGCCUCUGCGUGUAGACUCGCCUCAAAACAAUUGGCAGCCGGCGUAUUGAUUUCGGAGCGCAGUACAUCUCGCGCUUUGCACUCAUAACGACGACGUCCAAAAGUACAUUUUUACACUCUUGACCUCGGAUCAGGUAGGGAUACCCGCUGAACUUAAGCAUAUUAAUAAGCGGAGGA